rnacentral:rRNA from 1 species
GACGAACCGAGCGAACGUUAUUCGGAAUCACUGGGCUUAAAGGGCGCGUAGGCGGGCGAUCAAGUCAAGGGUGAAAGCCCCCGGCUCAACCGGGGAAGUGCCUCUGAUACUGGUCGCCUCGAGGGAGGUAGGGGCGUGCGGAACUUCCGGUGGAGCGGUGAAAUGCGUAGAUAUCUGGAGGAACACCGGUGGCGAAGGCGGCAUCCUGGACCGACGACUGACACUGAGGAGCGAAAGCAGGGAGCAAACGGG